UUUUAAAAGUUUUAUCCCUUUAUACUGUUAAAAACCGACAUAGUUGAUAGAAUAAUUAAACAGUGAUACAUGACAUGUACCUUCUGCUGACAUACAUGAACUAGUUGUUAACAGUAAAAAUAGAUAUUUUUUUUAAUA
rfam:Gossypium hirsutum cultivar TM-1 chromosome 19, whole genome shotgun sequence